GAUCCGGCGUCAACGGAGGCGGAACGGUGGACCCCGUACCCUGGCAGCAUCGGAGCACCGGCGGGUGAAGGCAAGGUCCCUGGACUGGUCAUAUACUUCUUGUGGCCCUGGCAGAAUCAAGAUGAGGCCCUGUCAUGCCUCCCCAGUGAGGCCUACAGUCUGAGCAGACAGCAUGGCCUGCCAUUGGCAGUGAACACCAUGUCUGCAGGAGGUGGCCGGGCCUUUGCUUGAUGGUAUGGUGUAUGCUCUGGGGGGAAUGGGCCCUGACACGGCCCCCCAGGCCCAGGUACGUGUGUAUGAGCCCCGUCGGGACUGCUGGCUUUCGCUACCCUCCAUGCCCACACCCUGCUAUGGGGCCUCCACCUUCCUGCACGGGAACAAGAUCUAUGUCCUGGGGGGCCGCCAGGGCAAGCUCCCGGUGACUGCUUUUGAAGCCUUUGAUCUGGAGGCCCGUACAUGGACCCGGCAUCCAAGCCUACCCAGCCGUCGGGCCUUUGCUGGCUGCGCCAUGGCUGAAGGCAGCGUCUUUAGCCUGGGUGGCCUGCAGCAGCCUGGGCCCCACAACUUCUACUCUCGCCCACAUUUUGUCAACACUGUGGAGAUGUUUGACCUGGAGCAUGGGUCCUGGACCAAACUGCCCCGCAGCCUGCGCAUGAGGGAUAAGAGGGCAGACUUUGUGGUUGGGUCCCUUGGGGGCCACAUUGUGGCCAUUGGGGGCCUUGGUAA
rnacentral:sRNA from 1 species